UUUUUUUUUUUUUUUUUGCAAUACAUUGUCAUUAUUCCUUUGGGAAGGAACAUCAAUAGGUGGAACUAACUCAGUUAUCUCAUCAGCAUAUUAUCUCAACAGGUUGCACUUAUAAUGAGUCUUUCUUCCUCCAAAGUGGAGCAAGUCAUGCUAAGUGACUGAAAUUGUGCUCAAGAGUUUAGCACACUGGCUGCCCUGCCAACCUUGCUGUGGAACAUAUAUACAGUCCAGCACGUGAUUUUUCUUCUUUGCAUUUCAAUAUCAGCAGAGACAAAAAGGGGAGUGGAUGAUAAUUCAAACAAAUUGACAUCAAAUUGGACUGGGGUGGAAAGGAAGCAACUGAAUGGGGAAAUAAAUAGCAUGAGUCCAAAUCCAACAAAGCUCAUCCAUCAUGCUACCUAUAGACCCUGAAUUCACUCAUUUCCAUACCAUGCAAGGAUUUUAUUUGUUGACGUGUCAGCAAAUGAAGCAUUCCUGCUAUCAGGGAGUAAUUUUCUGGGAUAAGACCAGAAUAUGAGAUAGUAGUUGGUGGAAUAAACAGAAAAGUUCCUUAAAUGGGUUGACUAUGAAGUCAUGUUUAGUUAUCUACUCACGUCUGUAUGUCUGCUAUGUACCAAGCAAGAAGCCAGGCGCUGAGGAUCCUGAAAUAAGGCUCAACCCCUUAAGGAUCCUAAAGUCUAGUGGGAAAGGUCAAGAGACAGCAGAGCAGUAGUCUGUUCAGUGUGGUGGCCUUAUGCACAGGUUACUGGCAGGAAGUCAGAUGGUCUGGGAGAACACUGCGGGGCUGUCUUGUUAAGAUGGCAUGGCUAAUAAGACACAUGCAGGCUGCAUCUAGAAGGAUGACUAGACUCUCAAGAGAAGAAAGGAGGAAAAAGUAAAUAAAAAAACUUAAGCCCCUUAUCGAGUUUGAUGAAUUAGGAGAGUUUGGUAGCCUGGAGCACAGUGAGAUUCACUGAGGACAUGGGUGGGGGCCAGAAUUAGGGAGGCUUUGAGUACUAAGCUGAGUGUGAGCUAGUGUUCUAAAAGCUAUAGGAGAGCCUUUGAAGAUGUUGUGCUCCCCACAUUACCCUGUAAAAAGGGUGGAUCUUUUACCCGCAUUUUACGGAAGGCACAAGAGGAUUCCAGAGAGCAAGUGCAUUGCCUCAGGGGACCGCCCAGAUGCAGAGUCUGCGCACACCGACCCUCUGUCAUGCUCUUUCCUUCAUGGGAAUUUAGAUCCUGACUGUCCUUCUCAAGCCUUCCAGGCUGCUGAAGAAUUGAUUAUGCGAGAGCAGAUGAGCUCCUUGGCUUAAUUAUUUAAAGAUUGCUUGCUGUUUUCAACGUUUUAUUUUUCCUCAAACUGUAGACAGAAAGUGUGUGUGUGUGUGUGUGUGUGUGUGUGUGUGUGUGUGUUUGGCGGGGGAGGAGGAGGGGUGGCUGUGGUGGUAAAGAUUUAGCUCAGGAACUUUUCGGCUUUGCCUGUAUAAAAUUCACCUAAUAAGAAUGCAUAGAGUCAAAUUUCCAGCAAGUCAGUAAGGGUUCCUAAAAUGUUUGAAAGUCCACCAGUGCUUUCUUACCAAGUGACAAUGUAUCUUAAAGGAGGUUAAAAAAACAAAAAAUAUCUCCUUACUGCAUGAGUGUGAUACCGGCUUACUAAAACCUCCUUGGAUUUCACCAUUGUACAUUUAUACUACUCUUGAUGUAUCUAUCCGCUGGUUUUCUUUGCUCUGUUGGAGUGGCAGGAUUUACUCCAGACCAGUUUUUGCCUAAUUCUGUGUGUACCAAAGCUACUUACACAAUGUUGGUAUUCCGUACCUGCUAAAACAAAAACAAAAUUCCCGUAAUGGCCCACUUCACUUUCUGUGGGUAGACAGUGCUCUCCAGGGGAUUAUUCACUUCUUCUAAAGAAGCUUUUGUUCUUGAGAUGCUGAAUACAUUCCUAUUCAUGUUAGAGUUGGCCAACUACCUUGUUGGCUAUGAAAUGCUAAGUCAGGGUCUUCAUUAAGUUAAUUCUGCUUCCCCCUUCAUAAUUUAGUAUUUAGAGAGUUUACCAAUAUUUCCAACUAUCUAAGUGAAAAUCUCUAAGUAACCACCUCAUCUGACUUUUAUAUUUCUAAAGUGGAUGUUCAUUUUAAUGCAUUCACCCCUUCAUAAAUAUUGUUUUUACUGGUGUACAAAGCAAAAUGUAAGAUUCAUUCAUCCAUUUGUUCAUCCAUAGUAAUAAAUUUCCUACAGUGUAUUAGAUACUGUAUCUGACACUGGAGAUAAAAUGGAAAGGAAGACAAAAAAAUCUUCUUUGCCCUUAUGGAGUUUGCAGCACCCACACUACUCAUAGUUUAUUGAAUCACAAGUUCUUUUCCAAAACCUGGCAUGAAAAUCCAUUUGGUCAGAAUUAAGGGUGUUGGCACCAUCAUCCUCUACAGGGAGCUGAGAAGUCUCAGCUCAUAUGGAAGGGGGCUGUGGAUCUCUCCUUGGUCCUGAGAAUCCCUUUCUCCAGUGCCACCACUGUCUCAGCUGUGAGAAAUACUGCCCUGCUCCUGCUCUGCUCCAGGUGCAGGCAGCACUCUUUUCCUAGAUUCUGUAAACCACAACUGGGACAGGCCGCAGUAUUUGACUCCUCUGGAAUCAAAGAUGGGGAGACCCAAUGCCUCCUGGCUAUGGAUGCUCAGAGAGGACAUAGGCCUUGGUCGCCCCUCAUGGGGGUCCCUCCAGGGCUUCCUCCCAGUCAGAGGUGACCUUGGUUUUAAGAUCCUUAAGUAAGACUAGAAUUCUGAGCCCAAAGCAAAGAGAACCUUGAGAAAAACGUCCCUCUCUUCGUUCCAAGGCUGAUCUCCUUGGUCUUUAAUUUCUCAGUCAAAGUCUAGUUUAUCCCAAGAUGAUUGGCACUUGGACUCAUGAUCUGGCGGAGAGGCUCUGUGUUCUAUCCAAAGGGGUGUGGCCCUGACCAUGUACGGCCAACUGCAGAAGCACUUUUAGGCACAGUGGCCCAACAAUGGUAAAUGGCAUCCUACAGCAAGAUGGCCAUUUCAUUACGGCUCUCUUGGGCUCCAAGAGAUGCUAGGGGAUGUGAAUUCUCUCCAGCGUCGGGAUUUCCAGUUUCUCUUGUGUGAAUAGUUGGUCUUUCCUCAAAACCUCAUUGUUUCCUACUCCUCCCUAUUAAAGGGUACCCUCAACUGGCUGCUCAGUGUCUCAGACCAUGCUUGAAAGGAAGUCAUCCUUGGCAGCCAGUGAUUUUCUAAAGCAAACAUCUUUCUCGUCUUUCUCCUCUCACCUCACCCAUGUCCCCUAGUGGUCUUUCUUUGCUUUCUGAAGCCUGGCUUAUGCAGCAGCCACAAGUGACAGGGGCUGAAUAUAAGCAACUUUGUGCAAUGGGGAGGAAAUCUUUGUGGUACUACGAUACACCCAAGACCUCCUAGCCCACACCAGUUCACAUCUGUAUUACACACUGGGAACAUCUUUAUCCACACUUAUGGCUCAUCCAUUCUUGUUUUGGUUUAGAGUCUUAUCUCCCUAAAAUCUACCUUGGGUCCCAGGCCCUUUUGCCAAGAUCUCCACACUCAAAAAUUUUGUGUAAGGGAAAUAUUUUUAGAUGUGGGAAACUACUUUUAAUAGACAGCUAUGUGGGUGCCUGCAAAUUUAAAGUACAUUCAACAAAUAUUUUUGUCCACCUACUUUACACCAAGAGUGUACAGAUGCAGAGGCUAGCACAGUGAAAAUAAUAGGCAUGGUGUCAGCUCUAGUAGAGCCUGAAAUUGGCUGGAGAACACAGACAUUAAAUAAAGAGCUACAUGAGUGUUGAAUGUUACAAAAGGCAAGAUUCAAGGUACUACAGAUGCAAACAGUGGGAGGGUUUAACCUAAUCUGGGGGAUUUGAGGAUGUUUUGUUUAACUCUACCACUGUCUGAUUUAAUGACUCUGAGCAAACUGUUUCAGCUUUCUGUAAUUAAGAGCAGUUCUUUUUACUUCCUCUUUCUCAAGCCCUCCCUGCUCUAGCCAAGGCUCCCAAGUCUAUGAGCUGUAAUGACAGGGGAAAUUGCUGGCAACAGCAAUAAGCUUGGCUGUAGGGAGCAAACAUAUGGAACAAAGGACAGAGGAGCCAUAGAAUUAACUCCAGAGCAUCAAGUGGGGAAUGGAGAAAAGACUUGUAACCUUUCUGCCCAUAGAGGGCAGACGGUAACCUCCAUGAUAGACAUUCCAUCUGUCUUGUUUAUUACUCUAAGUCUGGUACUUAGCACAGUGACCCUCAAAUAUUCAUAGAAUGAACAGAGGGCUGACCACUAUCACUGUCUAUGCCUGACUCUUAAAGUUAGGGUGGAGCCGUUUUGGGAACAGAGGAAGGAAAUGAUGCCUCCAUCAGUGGAGUACAUCAGUGGGUAGAUCAGGUAACCACUGCCUCCCUAGGGUGGAACACUCCAUGGACCACCAGGUUGUGUUCAUCCACCCUUUCUAUAAGAACUCUAGUUCUCCAGCCCCAACAAGUAUCUGGUCCCGUGAUGAUGCCAUGGACCCACAACAAAAUGUGAGACAGCUGCAUCCACUUAGAGAGACUCAGAUGAAAGUCAUCCUGUGUGUCCAUCCCUCACUUAUGGUUUUCCAUUUCAUCUCCUCUAACCUCCCCCUUCCUGAGCUACCUUCUUUAUUUUUUUUUAAUUUAAUGAUUUAAUUUUUUUCCGUUAUAGUUGAUGUACAGUGUUCUGUCAAUCUUCUACUAUACAGCAAAGUGACCCAGUUGCACAAACAUACACACACAUAUAUAUAUAUAUAUGUAUUCUUUUUUUCAUAUUAUCCUCCAGCAUGUUCCAUCACAAGUGACUAGAUAUAGUUCCCUAUGCUAUACAUCAGGAUCUCCACUGUAUAUCCACUCCAAAUGCAAUGGUUUGCAUCUUUUAACCCCAGAUUCAUAGUCCAUCCCACUCCCUCCCCCUCCCCCUUGGCAACCACAAGUCUGUUCUCCAAGUCCAUAAGUUUCUUUUCUGUGGAAAGGUUCAUUUGUGCCAUAUAUUAGAUUCUAGAUAUGAGUGAUAUCAUAGGGUAUUUGUCUUUUUCUUUCUGACUUACUUCAGCCUGAAUGUCCAUCAACAGAUGAAUGGAUUAAGAAGAUAUGGUGUAUGUACACAAAGGAAUACUACUCAGCCAUAAAAAGAACAAAAUCAUACCAUUUGCAGCAACAUGGAUGGAACUAGAGACUCUCAUACUGAGUUAUCUACUUUAUAUGUUAUGUUCCAUUGUAGGGCUCUGACUCCACUAAUCCUGCCUGUGGCAUUGGAGUUAGGGAAGUUAUCCAGGUGGCUUAGAGGGGAGGUAGAAAAAGUCACUCUGGCAAGAAAUGUUCAGGUCCCAUCUAGGACUCAGGUCAGCCACAAUAUUCCAAAGCUUACUGAAGUAAGUUAUCCCAGUAUGGGGGUAGCCUAGACUUUCUACACACAUUGUUCCAUAUAUUUGGUCUCUGCAGCCAGACUUACUGCUCUCUAUAUCAUGAGAAGAUUGAGGGAAACAGUUGGCAUGGAAUAGUUUCUGCUCACAGUGGGCUGUGGCUUUGGGAAUUAAAUGAUGGACUAUAGGACAAGGAUAUAAGGGACUGAAACCUCUCUCUGCAGAAGCACCUGGAAGGCCAUCUCAGUAUCUGGUGAAGCUAGCUUGCUGCCACACCCAGCAAAUCAACUUCUCUGAUAAGGAGUCUUGAAAGCAAUUGGGAGUUCUUACCAUCAAAGGGAAUCUUUUGGGCACUUCUUAUAACACAGGUGUUUGUUAAUAGAAAGUUAAUGGUAAAAAAAAUACAUAUAUAUAAGAAAAACACACAAAGAAGCUUUUGUGGGAGAAACAUGUUUUUCUCUAACGCCGCACCCGCCCCUCACCCCAUCAGAGCACUGCCUCUUCUAUGCAUGUCAGAUGUGAUUUCUUCACAUUCUGAGGUCUAGGGAGCUUCAUUUGGGAUGUCUCAGAUAAUGAUUCUACAACUAUGUUCAUUUUAUAUCAGUUUACUAUUUAAUUCCUGUAGGAUUGUGGGUUUCUUAUGGACAGUAUUUUAUUCAUAUUCCCAUCUAUCACAAUUCUUUAUAGAGAGUAGGCCACUGAUAAAUAAAAGGUAGAAUGAUUAAGUGAAUCGACAGAUGGAUAGGUAGUAGAUAUAGCCAUUCUGACUUCUCUGAUCCUUUUUCUCUUCCCCGACCUAGAUUUUUAAAGUAAUCUAAUGAACCCAUCGCUAGUGCCUCACUCUUUGCCUCCAAAGGAUAAAUUAUUUCAGAAUAAAAAUGAUCUUUCUCCAAAUCAAGUGUGACUAAAAUAUCCAGGAGCUUCCAGGCUACUGAGCACCCCUGCCUGGAUCUCAGGAAUUUUAGACCAAUCAAGCAUCUUUCUCCCCAUCUUUUCCCCACCUAUUAAAAUCCUAUUCUUUGAAGUUCCCAUCAUGGUGCAGCAGAAACGAAUCCAACAAGGAACCAUGAGGUUGCCAACUUGAUCCCUGGCCUUGCUUAGUGGGUUAAGGUUCUGGUGUUGCCGUGAAUUGUGGUGUUGGUCACAGAGGAGGCUCGGAUCUGGUGUGGCUGUGGCUGUGGUGUAGGCUGGCAGCUGUAGCUCCGAUUAGAUGCCUAGCCUGGGAACCUCCAUGUGCU
rnacentral:lncRNA from 1 species